GAUGAAGAACGUAGCGAAAUGCGAUACUUGGUGUGAAUUGCAGAAUCCCGUGAACCAUCGAGUCUUUGAACGCAAGUUGCGCCCGAAGCCAUCAGGUUGAGGGCACGUCUGCCUGGGCGUCACAUAUCGUUGCCCAAUGCCUAUUGCAGUGCAAUAGGAAUUUCUAGGGCGAAUGAUGGCUUCCCGUGAGCGUUGUUGCCUCGCGGUUGGUUGAAAAUCGAGUCCUUGGUGGGUGUGCCAUGGUAGAUGGUGGUCGAGUUAGAACGAUACCGAUCAUGUGCAUGCUCCCCAAAAUAUGGCCUCUAUGACCCACACGCGUCUUUUGACGCUCAUGACGAGACCUCAGGUCAGGCGGGGCUACCCGCUGAAUUUAAGCAUAUCAAUAAGCGGAGGA
rnacentral:misc_RNA from 1 species